rfam:Peptococcaceae bacterium SCADC1_2_3 contig_3, whole genome shotgun sequence.
AGGAUAAAAUCAAAAAGAAGUAUACCUCAAAAAUAACUAAUUAAAAAGAAUAAUAAUUAAUGUAAGAGUUAUCCGCUUGGAGCCAACCGGACCAAGACGGUUUU